rnacentral:lncRNA from 1 species
GAGAACAUCACAUCUACAGGAACACAGAGCCCCUCCGUGUGAGCUACUGUUCCUGGGAAAGCUGGUCAUACCAAGGACAGCCCUUUGGCAAGCAUGCAGCCUUUGUUCCUCUGCCUACUUAAGCAAGCUUCUUUUGGGGGGGCGGUUGCGGGUGCACACCUCCAUCCAGUCGGCCGCCACUGGACACGCUCCCGUUUAAUGUCUUUUCCGGUGUCUUAAGGUAAAUGUUGGAUUAACUUGAGAUCUUUCUUCUUUUAUAAUAUCAGUGAAAGGUGACAAACAGGAACAUUUGGAUUCUUGUCCACUGGAUAAGGCCUGUACAGAAAAAGGUGGUGACACAGAAACUGAAAAACCCAGCUUUACUGAAAUAAGUAAGGGAAUGCAGGAUUUAUUUACAUUGCAAUUCUAGUAUUUAUACUCAGACAAUUUAUGUCAGUUCCUGGCAUUGAAGGCCCCCAGGGAUGAGGGAAAGUAGAGAUCUUAAUAGUCUGAGGGAACCUAAGGGAAAGGUCAGAGUAUUUGUAGGCCAACACACCCAUUCUUCUGUCAAAGUAUGGAGAAGACGUGUAUUAGUUAGUUUUCCAGAGAAACAGAACCGAGAGAGAGAUAUAUAUAUAUUACAGCUCGCACAGGCUGACAAGUACUGAGAACUGCAGAGUGAAAUGGCAAGCUGGAGACUGAAGAAAGCCAAUGAUGUAGAUACAGUCCAAGUCCAAAUCCAAAUGCUUGAGAACCAGGAGAGUCGAUGGUGUCAUGCCAGUCAGAAGGCUGACAGGCUUGAGAAACAGGAAAUAUUAGACUCAGUGUUUCAAUUGGAGUCAAAAGGCAGGAAAAAGUACAUGUCCUGGUUCAAAGGCUGUCAUGCUGGAGGAAUUCUCUCUUACUUGGGGGAGGAUCAGCGUUUUUGUUCUAAGUCUUCAACUGAUUAUAUGAUGGUUAUCCACAUUAGAGAAGGCAAUCUGCCUUACUCAGUUUAUCAGUUUAAAUGUUAACCUCAUUCAAAAAAACACCCUCACAGACACACCCAGAAGUAAAGUCUGACCAAAUACCUGGGCACCCUCUGGCCCACUCAAGUUGAAACAUAAAAUUAUCACCACAAAGAUAAGCAGGAUAGCAGUAACUUCUAAGUGAACCUCUUCUGGUUCCCAAGGAAUGGCAGUAUUUGUAGCGUGAAAUAUGAAAAGGAAAGAGAUAUGUAGCCAUCAGCUUAACCAAGAAUUCAGCAGUUUAAGCAGAAUCCAAAUAAUUAAUCCACAAAGAUUGAGUUGUAUAGAUGAUAGCAGUCACAGCUCUUUAUCACAGCCUUUAUCACUUAAUCAUCACUCUUUAUCACAGCUUGGGGACUCAAAGUGUCAUAUGUAGUUCAUGAUUUUGAAAUUGUUGUAAGAACAUUUCCUAGCCGAAUGUAUCAGGAAGGAGAACCUCCUCUUGGCUUUCUAGAGAUUAAAAGCUACAUGAGUGGGGCUGGCAAAUGCCAUAAAAAUGGAUACUAGCCAUUUUCCUAGGGAGAAGUGAUGAAAAAGUCACAUGUCAUCAAACAAUUGAAGAUGAGUUGAGAAAUAGACCAGCUUUACCAAGUCAAAGCCAGUUUCACAUUUCUAACUGCGAGGGAGUUGGUGAAGAAUGUCACUGUCCAAAUUCUGGCUCCUACAGAAAGUACCUGGAAUAGGACAAGGAGGAGGUACUUCCAAGGGAGGCAGAUUCUACCCUUUCAAUUACAUGAAAGGUAAAGAGUUGGGUAGAAAAUUGAGGGUAAGAGAAAUGAAAGGAUUUUACUAGUGAGAGUUGAAAUAUAUAAGGUUGCUAGUUGAAGCAAAAUGGGAUUCAGAGGUUGAAGGAUACAAGAUUGCUAUACAAAAUUCACUUUCCUAUAUACAGUAGUCACUCCUUAUAUGCAGUUUUAUUUUCCAUGGUUUCAGAUACUCAUGGUCAACAGGGGUCCAAAAAUAUUAGAUGGAAAAUUCCAGAAAUAAUUCAUAAGUUUUAAACUGAAUGCCAUUCUGAGUAGCAUGAUGAAAUCUCAUCCCUCCUGAUCUGUCCUGCCAAGGAUGUGAAUUAUCCCUUUGUCAAGCGGAUCCACACUGUACAUGCUACCUGCUCAUUAGUCACUUAGUAGCUGUCUUGGUUAUCAGAUCUACUGACAUGGUAUUGCAGUGCUUGUGUUCAAGUCACCCUUAUUUUACUGAAUAACGGCCCCAAAUCACAAGAGUAUUGAUUCUCACAAUUCAGAUAUGCUAAAGAGAAGCUGUGAAGUGCUUCCUUUAAGUGAAAAGGCAAAAGUUCUUGACAUAAUAAGGAAAGGAAAAGAAUCAUAUGUUGAGGAUGCUAAGACAUACACUAACUUUUAUUACAGCAUAUUUUUUAUGAGUUAUUUUUUUUAGUUAUUAUUGUUAAUCUCUUACUGUGCCUAAUUUAUAAGUUAAACUUUAUCACAGGUAUGUAUGUAAACGAAAAAACAUAGUACAUGUUGGGGUCAGUUCUAUCUGUGGUUUCAUGCAUCUCCUGGGGGUCUCGGAACGUAUCCCCCACAGAUAAGGGAGGACUACUAUACCAAUAAUGGACAAGUAGAAUUUGAAAUUAAAAACACAAUACCAAUCACAUUAGCACACACACAAAGUGAAAUACAUGGGUAUAAAUCUAACAAAAUAUGUACAAGACCUGUAUGAGGAAAACUACAAAACUUUGAAAGAAGAUAAAGAGGAACUAAAUAAAUUGAAAGAUAUUCCAUGUUCACAGUUAGGAAGACUCAAUAUUGUCAAGAUGUCAGUUCUUCCCAACUUGAUCUAUAGAUUCAAUGCAAUUCUAAUCAAAAUCACAGUUAGUUAUUUUUUUGGAUAUUGACAAACUGAUUCUGAAGUUUAUAUGGAAAGGCAAAAAUCCAGAAUAGCCAAAGAGUACUGAAGAAGAUAAUCAAAGUCAGAAGACUAACACUACCCAACCUCAAGACUUAGUAUAAAGCUACAGUAAUCAAGACACUAUGGUGUUGGCAAAAGAAUAAACAAAUAGAGAAUGAAACAGAAUAGAGAGCCCACAAAUAGAUCCACAUAAAUAUAGUCAAGUAAUCUUUGACCGGGGAGCAAAGGCAUUACAAGGAAGUAGAGAUAGUCCUUUCAACAAAUGAUAUUGGAACAACUGAACCUCCACAUGCCAAAAAACGAAAACAAAAUAGACCUUACACCCUUCAUGAAGACUGGCUCAAAAUGGAUCAUAAACCUAAAUGUAAAAUGCAAAAACUAUAAAACUCCUAAUAGAUAAUAAUAGAUAACAUAAGAGAAAAUCUAGAUGACUUUGGUUCUAGCAAUUAUUUUUUAGAUACAACAGCAAAUCCAUGAUCCAGGAAAGAAAGAAUUGAUAAGAAGUACAUCAUUAAAAUUAAAAAUUUCUUCUCUGUGAAAGACACUGUCAACAGAAGGAGAAGACAAACCAUAGACUGGGAGAAAAUAUUUGCAAAGGCCCUCUCUGAUAAAGGACUGCUAUCCAAAAUAUACAAAGAGCUCUUAAAACGCAACUAUGAAAAACCAAACAAUCCAAUUGAAAAAUGGGCCAAAGACCUUAACAGAUAUCUCACAAAGAAGAUAUACAGAUGGAAAAUAAGCAUAUGAAAAGAUACUCCAUGUCAUAUGUCAUCAGAGAAAUUCAAAUUAGAAAAACAAUGAGACACCGCUACACACCUAUUAGAAUGGCCAAAAUCUAGAACACUGAUAACACCAAACACUGGCAAAGAUGUGGAACAACAGGAACUCUCAUUCAUUGCUGGUGGAAACGCAAAAUGGUACAGCUACUUGAGAAGACAUUUUGCUGGUUUCUUACAAAACAAAACAUACUCUUACCAUGUAAUCCAGCAAUCAUACUUCUUUCUAUCUAUCCAAAGGAGUUGAGAGCGUACAUCCACAGAAAAACCUGCACAUGAAUGUUUAUAGCACCUUUAUUCAUAAUUGCCAAGACUUGGAAGCAACCAAGAUGUCCCUCAGAAGGUGAAUGGAUAAAUUAACUGUGGUACAUCAAGACAAUGUCAUAUUAUUCAAUACUAAAAAUGAAUGAGCUAUCAAGCUGUGAAACGACAUGGAGGAACUUUAAAUGCAUGUUACUACACGAAAGAAGCCAGUCUGAAAGCCUCCAUACUGUAUGAUUCCAAUUAUAUCGCUUCCUGGAAUUGACAAAACUAUGUAGACAGUGAAAGGUUUAGUAGGUACCUGGAGUGGGGGUGGGGGGAGGGAGGGAUGACUAGGCAGAGCACAGAGGAUUUUUAGGGAGAUGAAACUGUUCUGUAUGAUACUGUAAUGGUGGACACAUGGCCUUAUAUAUUUGUGUAACCCAUGGUAUGUGCAACAUCAAGAGUGAAGCGUAAUGUAAACAAUGGACUUUAGAUGAUUAUGACAUGUCAAUGUAGGUUCAAAAAUUGCAACAAAUGUACCAUGCCGGUGGGUGAUGUUGAUAAUGGUGAGGGGGAGGCUAUUGAUGUGUAGGGGCAUGGGAAAUCUCUGUACCUUCUUAUUGUUGUUCCUGUGAGCUUAAAGCUGCUAUAAAACUUAAGCCUAUUAAAAUUUUUUAAAAAGGAUCCAGACAGUCCUGUGACUGUUGAAACAAUGGGCGUGGUAGACUUGAAGGCAAAUAUUUGCAUCCAUUUACUAGAAUGUGGUCUUUUAGUCUUUGGCUGCAGGAAAUGUGGAGGCGUCAAGCAUUAUGAGAUGGCAGAAAAUGGGAAGGAAGGACUGCAGAGCUUCUGGUGCUCACCUGAGCCUCCUCUUAUCAUUUCUUCAUGGUUUUAGUGCAGAGAGGAUUAAAGGAUACAUGCAAUGUGCUAUUUUGCCAUUUCCAGAUUUUCUUUCUCCCUUCCUUCCUUCCCCUUCCUUCUCUUUUCCUCCCCUCUGAUGUCCUCCCCUUCCUUUCCAUCCCCUUCCCUUCUCUUCUAUUUCUCUCUCCUUUUCUUUUUUUGUGUGCUAGCUCAAGGAAGAAGAGUUGUUUGAAGAGUCCCUAAGACAACCUCCAAAGUAUAGUGUCUCUUGCAAAGAAGAAACUCAAAAUUAUUAGUUUUCUUUCUCUUCACUCCUCUACCUCCCUUCGCUUCCCAUCUAGCAGCUCCUCACUGCUUGCUCUUAAGUUUCCUGCCUCUGUAUUCCCAGGCUGAUGUGGAGAGAUUGCAACAAGGUAUGAUAUAUCUAAACUGAAAUGCAAUUUCCUUUGGCGAGCUCUUUCCAGGUCUAGAUUUUUCUAAACACAUUUUCCUUGUAACUCUAUGUUUUAAAGAUUAUUUUUGGAGGGAAUUCACAAAAACUUUCCCUCUUCUCUAGUAAUCAACAGUAUUUGUUCAAUGCACAUCUAUGGAGUAACUACUCUGUGUCAUAUAUAACUGUCGAUGCUGAGAAUAGAAAGAUGAACAAAUUAGAUCCCUGCCAAUGGGGAGCCAGGCCUUGUGAAAGUUUAAAUAAUUUCCUUUCAGAUAUUGCUUUUGGAAAUUAGAAUUUAUUUUUCACAAUUGAAAUCACGAAAAUCUUAGUUUUCCAGCUUCACGUAGAAGUUUCUUAUCCAACAAAAUUAUAUAUAACCAUGGGAAUCCUGAAAAUGUACUUGGAAGUUUUGCAACAAAUUUUUCUUCCAAAACAAGACUUUGGGCAUUUGUUAAACUGAAGAGUAAUUCAAAAUUCGAAUUGUAGAGGCCCAGAAUUUUAAUUAUUACAAACCAAAAUGGCUCUCUCUCUUAAUAUUGUCCUUAUAAACCGUUUUGGUAAUUUUGUUUCCAAAAUGUUGGCAGUUUAAUUAUAAACUCAAUUGAAAUAUUAGAGACAUUGCAUUUCAUGUAUUAGACCUUCACUUUGGAUUAGUGAAUUUAAAGAAACGUGGUCAUAUAAAUCUAAGGAGAAGUCAGGAAUUACUGUUAACUUAAUUUUCAACCCAUGUAUGAUAUAACAAUACUAAAAAAUAAAAGCUGCCAUGUUUGUACUAUAUGCCAAGUACCAUCUUGGGUAUACAUUAUACCAUUUAAUUAUAGCAGCAAGCCUGCAAGAUUUCCCAGUAUUACAGAUUGAAUACCUGUGAAGGAAAUUUCUUCAAGCAGUGUUAUUUUUCACUAGAGAAGCUACUUUUUUCUGCACUGUCCUCUGUAUAAUGAUGACCACUUUAUUGAUACUCAUCUACCAUAUUUAAGGUAAUGAGAAAUUUUUUUUUGAGGAAGGUUAGCCCUGAGCUAACAUCUGUGCCCAUCUCCCUCUAUUUUAUGUGGGACGCCUGCCACAGCACGGCUUGACAAGUGGUACAUAGGUCUGCACCUGGGAUCUGAACUAGUGAACCCCAGGCCGCUGAAGUGGAACAUGUGAACUCAACCGCUGCACCACCGGGCUGGCCCCUAAGGUGCAGAAGACAGCCAAGCAAGUGGAGAUGCCCCUGUAAGCACACGCAGCCGCAAGAUCUUCUGAAGCAUCCAUCACAAGUUCAAGAAAGCACAAGAGAAGUGAAUCAGAAUACCAGAUGGAAUUAGCUGGAGCAGAACCAAGAGUCCCAGGAGAACUCUGCCGAUCCAAGUAAUGCACUGUGUAUGGAGAGCCCUGGAGACCCUACAACUAUCUGCUGCAUCUCCAGAGGAGCCUGUGGAGACAUGGCCAACCACGUAGAGACCAAAUGUUACACCAAUAGGCUACACAGAUUGUAAUUAUUAAAAUAAAAUCAAUA